rnacentral:lncRNA from 1 species
GGCCAGAAGUCCAGGGCUAGGAGCCUCAGCCGGCGGACGCCAGGAAACAGGUCUAGGUUAAUAGCAGGUAAUUGUGACAAGUCCAGUGUGGGUUACUGGUCAUGAAGAAUCCAUUGUUGAUGACAUCCCAGAAGAGAACACUAAGUCUUAGCUUUCAUCUUACCCCUGAACUUCCCUUCCUCUGAAGAGUGGAAUACCACCCAGCAUCCUCUCACAUACAAAGAAAGAACAAAUUGCUGAUAGACACAGAUGUCCAUCAAUCUCAAAAGUCGUCAUGAAACCUCUGGAAGAAUUGAGCUGGUCGACUAUGCAAACAGUUGUCAAGAGCCUAUAAAAUAUGCAGCAUAAAAUUUUUCCUUUGUAGUCAAACCUGAUUAUUCCUCUUAGAUACUGGGAACAGAAUUUCACAGUCGUCAGAGAAUAUACCUUUUGUAUUUUCGUAUUAAAUAUGUACUCCUAUUACUUAACAAUUGUAGUUUAACUCCUUUUUUAGGUAAAAUUCUAAUUUUUCUCUUCUGUUAAAAAUUUCCAGUUCCAACACGAAGAUAAUAAAGAAUAUUAAUUUUAUCCUUAUUAACUUGAAGGAAGUAAUAUUUAUUUUUGUAUUUCUGUACUUAAGUAUAUCACAAAUACAGAUUUCUGUAGUUGGAGAAUUAAUAUAAAGUAACAUAGUAUUCAAUAAGAAGGGAUUUUUCUUUAUUAAAAAGAGGUCUGAAUUAUAAACUAAAUAUCUGUGUAACUUUGAACAAUUUAUUUA